rnacentral:lncRNA from 1 species
CGGCAGUGUUAGCUGUCUGAAGGGACCCUACAGCACUCACACAGCAUUUAUUGGAUAGUCUGACACAUCAGGAGAAUUCCAACUAGUGUUUUAAUCCUAUUAUUUACAGUAACUAAAAUAGCACCAGUAUCUAUUCUACAGACAUUUCAGCCUAAAGAUCAGUGGAAACAAGCAGAGGAGAUGAUGAUCCACUUCCACACUGACACUGCUGGUUCUCCAGAGCUGCUCUAUAGGUGCAAAAAUUUUCCUCCGUGGCAAAGCUGGGAUCACCUGCACUAUCUCAGGAGGUGUUUCCUGUGUCCUUCUCCUCCUGGACUGCGUAAAAUCCUGCAUAAACACAGUAUGGUGCUAGUGACAGCACAGUUUGAAUUUAAUGCAAAUGCUUAAAAAGACUAUCAAACUUUCAGGAAUGGUCAGGAUAAAUACUUUCCCUUCAGUUAUGUA